GACGAACGCUGGCGGCGUGCUUAACACAUGCAAGUCGAACGGAAAGGCCCUGCUUGCAGGGUACUCGAGUGGCGAACGGGUGAGUAACACGUGGGUGAUCUGCCCUGCACUUCGGGAUAAGCCUGGGAAACUGGGUCUAAUACCGGAUAUGACCUUCCAUGUAGUGUGGGGGGUGGAAAGAUUUAUCGGUGUGGGAUGAGCCCGCGGCCUAUCAGCUUGUUGGUGGGGUAAUGGCCUACCAAGGCGUCGACGGGUAGCCGGCCUGAGAGGGUGGACGGCCACAUUGGGACUGAGAUACGGCCCAGACUCCUAGGGGAGGCAGCAGUGGGGAAUAUUGCACAAUGGGCGGAAGCCUGAUGCAGCGACGCCGCGUGGGGGAUGACGGCCUUCGGGUUGUAAACCUCUUUCGACAGGGACGAAGCUUCGGUGACGGUACCUGUAGAAGAAGCACCGGCUAACUACGUG
rnacentral:rRNA from 1 species